GCCAUCCAAACAGGUGUACAGCAGACUGCCACUGUGAAAUCGCUGUUGGCACGGGGCAAGCACUUGUCUCCUUCACAGCUGGCAAAAAAACUGAUGUCACCUGUUAAACCCUAUCCAAAACUGCAGUCCACUGUACCUCCUCCUACAGCAGAACCCCCAGCCAAACGUAUGGCCCAAAGGCAGCUUUUUACUACUGGCACUUCCAGAUCCACUGCUGAAGAUGAUGAAGAACUGGUGUUUGCUGCAUCACAAUGUGAAGCACAGCUCUUUGCAG